AGAUAGAACUCUAUCUCCCUCCACUUUGCUAUUUAGGGGUUUGGGUAGCAAGACUUAAGAAAAAAGAAGCAAAAAAGAUAAAUAUUUCUUUCUCCAUUGAUUCAAUACUUUUCUGUCUCCAUUUUAAAGAUUCUGCAAACUACUUCAGAGGUUAUAAGAGUACUUCCAUUGAUGGUGAAGAUAAAGUACAUUCUGGAGUGUGUCAACAAAAGAUCAUUUCAAGGCAGAGCGCUGGGAACAAGGGACUUGAUGAAGUCGCAGGAGGACGUGCUGGAUAGAGCCUUCCUGGUCAUCAGCCAAGUGCGACAAGAAGCUACAGCAUUAGAGAUGUACCCCCUCACUGUUGCAAGCUGUUCCUGCUCUGCCCACUCUGUAACUGUCUCUAUUGUUCUAGUUAAACAUUUACUGCUGACUAAACGUUUACUAUGCCCUCCAGGUUUGCUAGGAGGGUAUAAAAUAAGAUGCUGUUCCUAAUAAAGUUUGCCAUUA